rnacentral:rRNA from 1 species
AGCGGCGAACGGGUGAGUAACACGUAGGUGAUCUGCCCAUCAGACGGGGACAACGAUUGGAAACGAUCGCUAAUACCGGAUAGGACGAAAGUUUAAAGGUGCUUCUGGCACCGCUGAUGGAUGAGCCUGCGGCGCAUUAGCUAAUUGGUAGGGUAAAGGCCUACCAAGGCGACGAUGCGUAGCCGACCUGAGAGGGUGAACGGCCACACUGGGACUGAGACACGGCCCAGACUCCUACGGGAGGCAGCAGUAGGGAAUCUUCGGCAAUGGGCGAAAGCCUGACCGAGCAACGCCGCGUGAAUGAUGAAGGCCUUCGGGUUGUAAAAUUCUGUUAUAAGGGAAGAACGACUUUAGUAGGAAAUGGCUAGAGUGUGACGGUACCUUAUGAGAAAGCCACGGCUAACUACGUGCCAGCAGCCGCGGUAAUACGUAGGUGGCGAGCGUUAUCCGGAAUUAUUGGGCGUAAAGAGCGCGCAGGUGGUUGAUUAAGUCUGAUGUGAAAGCCCACGGCUUAACCGUGGAGGGUCAUUGGAAACUGGUCGACUUGAGUGCAGAAGAGGGAAGUGGAAUUCCAUGUGUAGCGGUGAAAUGCGUAGAGAUAUGGAGGAACACCAGUGGCGAAGGCGGCUUCCUGGUCUGUAACUGACACUGAGGCGCGAAAGCGUGGGGAGCAAACAGGAUUAGAUACCCUGGUAGUCCACGCCGUAAACGAUGAGUGCUAAGUGU